GGACUUGUGACAAUAAAUCAAGAUUAUCUUAGCGGAUUUCAGUGAGAUUCGUUGUCGGUGAUCCGAUUGUUACACACAUUGAAGCCA